AUCCAGAUGUCGAGUCCACAAUAAGACGAAACUCGCUUCGUGGAU
rnacentral:hammerhead_ribozyme from 1 species